CAUAGCUCAGCCAGUAAAGCACUGGUCUUGUAAACCAGGGUCGCGAGUUCGAUCUCACUGGAAAGU